rnacentral:misc_RNA from 1 species
AAGUCGUAACAAGGUUUCCGUAGGUAAGUGUCGACCCCUAGAGGGACUCCCAUGCUUGACCUUGUGACUCAAUACUAACAAUUUUUAUAGGUGAACCUGCGGAAGGAUCAUUAAAGAGUUAGGGUCCUCUGGGCCCGACCUCCCAACCCUUUGUUUACUGAACCUCUGUUGCUUCGGCGGACCCGUCUCACGGCCGCCGGAGGGUUGCCCCUAGGCGUCCUCUGGCCAGCGUCCGCCGAUAGCCACUCUCAAAACUCUUGAAUAAAAUCAUAUUAUUGUCUAAGUUAUGAUGCAAAUCAAUAAAGCAAAAACUUUCAACAACGGAUCUCUUGGUUCUG